rnacentral:rRNA from 1 species
GAACGAACGCUGGCGGCGUGACCUAACACAUGCAAGUCGUGCGAGAAGUCCUUCGGGAGCGAGUAAAGCGGCGCACGGGUGAGUAACACGUAGGUAACCUGCCCCCCCAGUCUGGAACAACUAGAGGAAACUCUAGCUAAUGCCGGAUGAGACCACGAUCCCUUCGGGGGUUGCGGCCAAAGAUGGCCUCUACUUGUAAGCUAUCGCUGAGGGAUGGGCCUGCGGGCCAUUAGCUUGUUGGUGAGGUAACGGCUCACCAAGGCUGUGAUGGCUAGCUGGUCUGAGAGGAUGACCAGCCACACUGGGACUGAGACACGGCCCAGACUCCUACGGGAGGCAGCAGUGGGGAAUUUUGGACAAUGGGGGCAACCCUGAUCCAGCCAUGCCGCGUGAGUGAAGAAGGCCUUCGGGUUGUAAAGCUCUUUCAGACGGAAAGAAAACGCCCCUCCUAAUACGGGGGGUGGAUGACGGUACUGUCAGAAGAAGCACCGGCUAACUACGUG